AUUGCACUUCAUUGUGGGGCUU
rnacentral:miRNA from 1 species